UACGGAGGAUGCGAGCGUUAUCCGGAUUUAUUGGGUUUAAAGGGUGCGUAGGCGGAGUGCCAAGUCAGCGGUAAAAAUUCGGGGCUCAACCCCGUCGUGCCGUUGAAACUGGCGCCCUUGAGUGGGCGAGAAGUAUGCGGAAUGCGUGGUGUAGCGGUGAAGUGCAUAGAUAUCACGCAGAACCCCGAUUGCGAAGGCAGCAUACCGGCGCCCGACUGACGCUGAAGCACGAAAGCGUGGGUAUCGAACAGG
rnacentral:rRNA from 1 species